rnacentral:lncRNA from 1 species
UAGGAGUCGCACUGGUUGACGAAGCCCACAGGAUCAGAUUUCCCCGCAAAUUUAGGGAAGUCCAUAAGCGUGGCAGCGGCGGUGUGUUGUGGCGGAUCUGGAUCGAUGAUUGUGGCGGCGGUGGAUGGUGGUGAUGGGGCUACGGCGCGGCGGCUGUGGUGAUGGGGGUGCGGCGGCGGCUGGUGGCGUUGCUGUGGCGGCGCGGUACGAUGGAUGAGGUAGGCGACGCGACGAUCUGGAUCGGUAUCUUUUUUUUGGAAACGGCUGAUGGAGGAUCGGAAGUGCUGGAGGAUUCGGCUGAUGGAGGAUCGGAGGUGCUGGAGGAUCUGGCUGAUGGAGGAGGAUCGCUGGACUCUCUGAUACCGGGUGUUAUGAACGCGGUGGAUAUUUGGAAGAUAGAUAACUAGGCCUUAUGCUUUGCCAAGAGCUUUGGGAUAACUAGGCCUUAUGCUUUGCCAAGAGC